rnacentral:rRNA from 1 species
AGUGGAUGGGGAGCAACCUAGUUGUGCGUGUGUAACGGUAGUGCCAAGAAAAGCGAUGAUCAUGUUGAAAAUCAAUUCCCGGUACCCGAAACCGACACAGGUGGGCAAGUAGAGAAUACUAAGGGGCGCGAGGUAACUCUCUCCAAGGAACUCGGCAAAAUGACCCCGUAACUUAGGGAGAAGGGGUGCCACCGAGAGGUGGUCGCAGUGAAGAGGCCCAGGCGACUGUUUAGCAAAAACAUAGGUCUCUGCAAACUCGAAAGAGGAGGUAUAGGGGCUGACGCCUGCCCAGUGCCGGAAGGUUAAAGAAGUUGGUCAGUUUUAGGAUGAAGCUAGCGACUGAAGCCCCGGUGAACGGCGGCCGUAACUAUAACGGUCCUAAGGUAGCGAAAUUCCUUGUCGGGUAAGUUCCGACCCGCACGAAAGGCGUAACGAUCUGGGCGCUGUCUCGGAGAGAGGCUCGGCGAAAUAGGAUUGUCUGUGAAGAUACGGACUACCUCCAUUUGGACAGAAAGACCCUAUGAAGCUUUACUAUAGCUUGGAAUUGUGUUCGGGCUUCCUGUGCGCAGGAUAGGUGGGAGGCGUAGAAGGUAUUCUUGUGGGGAUACUGGAGCCAACGGUGAGAUACCACUCUCAGGAGGCUAGAAUUCUAACUUAAUUAAGGACAGUUUCAGGUGGGUAGUUUGACUGGGGCGGUCGCCUCCAAAAAGGUAACGGAGGCGUACAAAGGUCCCCUCAGACUGGUUGGAAAUCAGUCGAAGAGUGCAAAGGCAGAAGGGAGCUUGACUGCGAGAAGUACAGUUCGAGCAGGGUGGAAACACGUCUUAGUGAUCCGACGGUGCUGUGUGGAAGGGCCGUCGCUCAACGGAUAAAAGUUACUCUAAGGAUAACAGGCUGAUCUCCCCCAAGAGUUCACAUCGACGGGGAGGUUUGGCACCUCGAUGUCGGCUCAUCGCAACCUGGGGCGGAAGUACGUCCCAAGGGUUGGGCUGUUCGCCCAUUAAAGCGGUACGUGAGCUGGGUUCAGAACGUCGUGAGACAGUUCGGUCCAUAUCCGAUGUAGGCGUGAGAAUAUUGAGAGGAGCCUUCCUUAGUACGAGAGGACCGGGAAGGACGCACCGCUGGUGUACCUGUUAUGAUGCCAAUUGUAAACGCAGGGUAGCCAAGUGCGGAGAGGAUAACCGCUGAAAGCAUCUAAGUGGGAAGCCCACCUCAAGAUGAGUAUUCUGGUGUAAGGUCACGGGAAGACGACCCGUAAAUAGGCGCGAGGUGGAAGUGCAGAGAUGUAUGAAGCCGAAGUGUACUAAUAGACCGUCGGCUUGACCAA